rnacentral:rRNA from 1 species
GAGUUUGAUCCUGGCUCAGAUUGAACGCUGGCGGCAUGCCUUACACAUGCAAGUCGAACGGCAGCACGGGAGCUUGCUCCUGGUGGCGAGUGGCGAACGGGUGAGUAAUGCAUCGGAACGUAUCCUGGAGUGGGGGAUAACGUAGCGAAAGUUACGCUAAUACCGCAUAUUCUGUGAGCAGGAAAGCGGGGGACCUUCGGGCCUCGCGCUCUUGGAGCGGCCGAUGUCGGAUUAGCUAGUUGGUGAGGUAAAGGCUCACCAAGGCGACGAUCCGUAGCAGGUCUGAGAGGAUGGAUCUGGCCACACUGGAACUGAGACACGGUCCAGACUCCUAC